ACUCCUACGGGAGGCAGCAGUGGGGAAUAUUGCACAAUGGGCGAAAGCCUGAUGCAGCGACGCCGCGUGAGGGAUGACGGCCUUCGGGUUGUAAACCUCUUUCAGCAGGGAAGAAGCUUAAUCGUGACGGUACCUGUAGAAGAAGCACCGGCUAACUACGUGCCAGCAGCCGCGGUAAUACGUAGGGUGCGAGCGUUGUCCGGAAUUAUUGGGCGUAAAGAGCUUGUAGGCGGUUUGUCGCGUCUGCUGUGAAAACUCGGGGCUUAACCCCGAGCCUGCAGUGGGUACGGGCAGACUAGAGUAUGGUAGGGGAGACUGGAAUUCCUGGUGUAGCGGUGGAAUGCGCAGAUAUCAGGAGGAACACCGAUGGCGAAAGCAGGUCUCUGGGCCAUAACUGACGCUGAGAAGCGAAAGCAUGGGGAGCGAACAGGAUUAGAUACCCUGGUAGUCCAUGCCGUAAACGUUGGGCGCUAGGUGUGGGGCUCAUUCCACGAGUUCCGUGCCGCAGCUAACGCAUUAAGCGCCCCGCCUGGGGAGUACGGCCGCAAGGCUAAAACUCAAAGGAAUUGACGGGGGCCCGCACAAGCGGCGGAGCAUGCUGAUUAAUUCGAUGCAACGCGAAGAACCUUACCAAGGCUUGACAUAUACCGGAAACACUCAGAGAUGGGUGCCCCGCAAGGUCGGUAUACAGGUGGUGCAUGGUUGUCGUCAGCUCGUGUCGUGAGAUGUUGGG
rnacentral:rRNA from 1 species